rnacentral:tRNA from 1 species
UUGGCCCAACGGUAAGGCGUCUGACUACGAAUCAGAAGACG